GAUGGUUGAGGCGCUAUCGUCUACUUCCGGUAUACUUCCGGAAAAUUUGCAUAAAACUAGCAAGUGAGCUUUAUUCUCUGUACAAUUCUUAAGACUCCUUGCCAAGUUAAGUAAACAGAAAUGGUCUUUUUGAUUACUUUUGUGACUUGUUUAACUAUCUAAGGCCGGUCCUUUAGAUAGUGGGUUUUGGACGUGUCAAAUAGAUGGCGUGAAAGAAUACUGUGUUGAUAUGUGAUGGCGGCUCGUUGUCAACAGUUCAGCUACAGCUAUUUUCUUCAAAAAUUACCAAUGAAUUCUUUGGAGAAAAUGUGAAAGGUGCAUGCAGCCUACUGUCAACUAUUGUGUUGUAAACCCUGGGAUCCUACUGAAUGUGUCAUCCAAGUGACAGAGCACAGAGGUUUUUAUUAUCAACUAUUUCUAUUGGACUUGCUAGAUCACCAACCCCAGCAUAGACCGAUCUCUCAUUCCACUUCUAGAGAACCUUGGAUAACUGAUUGGUAGUUUAGUGUGUUCUUAGGUUUCUAAUUUUGCAUGACAGACUUUAUGAGAAGUCAUGUCCUUUGACGAAUGACAAACAAGGUCCUUUGUUUGGUAACCCGUUGGCUGCUACCCUUUUUACUUUCUUAAACAGGCCCUCUUGAUUUGAGGGUAACUGAUCCUUCACUACUUAUCAUGGACUUCAUCCAUUGGUGAAAGCUGAUAAGAGAAAGCUGGAUUUGAGUAAUUCAAGACUGACAGCUGUUAGAUGUCUAAGCCAAAAGCUGUUUCCUCUCCCUGUCUUUA